AUGUCAUCUCCUCGUAUUCAUUCUCUCUUUCCAAAUCUUUCACUAAUUCCUCCAAAUUUCUCUCAUAUCUCUUUGUAUCUUAACAACAAUAGAAAAAACCUAGAAAGCUUAAAAGAAGUUUGCUCGACGCGUAUCCAAACCAACAAAGAUGAUAAGAAAACAAGAGUAAAUCUAUUCAAGGAUUCAGAUUUGAGCUUGAUUUCCUUGAUGGAUAGCUUUCAAGAUGAGAAGUGA